AUGAGUUGUUCUGGCUACCAAUAUUAUCUUGUGAUACUUGACGACUUCUCCCAUUAUUCAUGGACUUUUCAUUUACGUGCGAAAUCUGACACAUCUUCUACCCUCCAACGUUUCUUCACUUACAUAUCAACUCAAUUUCACUCUCUCGUCAAGUGCUUACAAUGUGAUAAUGGUGGUGAAUUCAUUAACACCUCCUUGCGCUCCUUCCUCUCUACUCAUGGAAUUGUUUUCCGUCUCUCAUGCCCACACACUUCCCCCCAAAAUGGCAAGGCCGAACGAAUUCUUCGUACUACCAACGACAUUGUCCGUACUCUUCUUAUUCAAGCCAAUUUACCACCUACCUUUUGGGUUGAGGCCCUUCACACCGCCACGCACCUCUUAAAUCGUCGCCCCUCUAGCUCUAUCUCUUUUAACACGCCUAACUUCCUCCUUACGGGCACUCAUCCUCGUUAUGAUCACCUGCGUGUGUUCGGGUGUUUGUGUUUUCCAAAUUUAUAUGCCACCACUCCUCACAAACUUGCCCCUCGUUCCACCCCGUGCGUCUUCAUCGGGUACCCACUAGAGCACAAAGGAUACCGUUGCUUUGAUCUCUCCUCUCGUAAGGUGAUCGUUUCCCGACAUGUUGUUUUCGACAAAACGCUUUUUCCCUACACGCCCGAACCCACAAAAACGCCAGCCGCAUCAGAUCCCCCGCCUGAUCACCAGAUCCGCAUCAGAAUCAGCCCACCUACCUUGUACCCAGUGGUCCCCGGUCCACCCGCCUCGACUGCCACUUCCCUCCCAUCGACGCGCGGCCGCUCCACCCACGAUCCACCAACCCCCGGACCCGCU
rnacentral:rRNA from 1 species